rnacentral:piRNA from 1 species
UAAAGCAUAUUUUUUUUUAUAAAAAUAUUUUAUUUUAAAAUUAUAUUUAAUCUCUCUCUAUCUCUAAAAAAAAAAAAGAUUUGCUUGUAAAAAUUUGAUGUAGGGACCAAUUUAUAAGUCUCACUCUAUGCUCUUCGUACAUUGAGAAUAUAAAUAAUAAUAAUUAAAAAAAAAAAAAAGAAUCCAUUUUCCCGUUUAUUUUUAUUAGGUAGAGUUAAAUAUAUAUUUGUGAAACAUAAAGUCUCACACACACUUACUUUAUUUUUAACUUUUUAAGGUAAAACUUUUAAAACAUUUUGAAUUGGCGAUCAUUCUAUCAAUUCAUUCGUAGAACAGGCUAAUGUUCUAGUAUAUUAUAUAAAUAUUUAAAUAUUUAGUGCGAACACUUUUUUACAAAAAAAGUGGGGAAUAUUAUAUACAAGCAAUAUGUACUUAAUGUGCUGAUAAUAUUCGUUAUUAAAAUUAAAAGUAAAUAAAAUCCACGACGAUUAUAAAUUAUUUAUAUUUGGAAUAUGUAUUUUUCAAUACUUCAAUUUUUAUUUUAUAUAGAUUAUGAUUCAAACGUACUUACGUAUUUUAUUUAAUUUACUUAUAUAUAUUUAUUUUGUAAUCCUAAAAAAAUUAACAGCUAAACCAUCUUUUGCUUAAUGUUUUUAUUCCGCUAGCAUCUUAUGCUUUGUAUGAUGAUGAUAAGCCAAAACACUUGUUCUAUAUUACUCACACAAUAUCACAUAUUAUACGAUACAAUUAAAAAUUGAAACAGAAAAAGAAAAUUAUAUGUGUAAUAAAUAUUGAAUAUUGUUCAUAUAUGUUGGGUGACAAUAUUUAAAAAUAUACGAACAUAAAAACUAUUUUUAGAAAAAUUAGAUCUAAUUAAAUUCCAGUUUCUCCUCUCGAUUUAAAAACAGAUGCUUUACGUCUGAUAUAUUUUACCUGGGGGAAUAAAUGAUUACUGAACGUUGCGUGAACCGUGGUGUGAAGUUUAUAACCAGGGGGAUGAUGAAGGAGGUGUCUAGGGGAUGUAUUCAACCUCCGCACUCCAUCUUCCCGCGUUAACCCUCCAUGUCUUUAUAAAGGCGAACCAAACUCCUACCCAAAACGGAACGAAAUUUAUAGCCGACAUUGAAUCCAUAAACUAAAAUGUUCGGUUUUAUAUAUUUAUAAAAGGCAUAAAAUUAAUGCGUGGAUGAAGGGAAGCCGAUUAUAUUUAUAUAUUUAAAAACUAAAACAGCGCUAGAAUUUUUGGUCAAGUAUUAAAUAAAAUAUUCAUUAGAAAUUUCAAAAAGGUGUAUCGUGUGUGUAUGUAGAAAAUUCAGAUAUAUCUUCAUUCAAAGGCUUGAUUUAAAUUAACAAGGAUAGAGCUAUGGUCGCCCCGAGUGUUGGAUGCUCCCAGAAAAUAUUUUUUUGCGGCAUUCAUCUUUCACUUAUACGUCCUUUCCCCCUUCCAAGUCUUACAACUAAUCUUUCUAUAUUAUAUCGACUUAAAAUUGUGGAAAAAUAAUAGUAUUGGUAGUUAUAAAUUAGUAUUUUGAACGUUAUGAUUAUUUGUCACUUUGCAACCCUCUUGCGAGCUUUAAAAACAUUUUUUUUUAAUCCGAUAUAUUAAACUAUAUCUUCAGCUAUCUAUAUCUAAAAUUUCUUUAAUGUUUAAUUUAAUAGUUUUGGCGGAGAAAAGUAACACACUUCGAUUUAGCAUUUUCAUAUUUUAUAUCUACACUCAUGGACAAAACUUAAGGAAGUUGUACCUUUAGCAUGAUAUUACAGUAACUUUUAUUGAAGGCACACGAGAUAACUAAGUGUUAACAAAUUGCCUAUGUCUUCUUCAAAAAAUUAAAGUUUUAUCCAUGAGUGUAUAUCGACCCAAAAUUGAAAUAUAAGUAUUGGUAGUUUUAAAUUAUUUGUUACUUAGUGACCCUCUGGAGAGAUUUUUUUUAGAAAUAGUUUUUAAAUAGCUGAUAUAUUGAACUAUAUCUUUAGUGAUAUUUCUUGAUUUCUUAAUUUUCCCUUAACUCAGUUCACAGCUAAAUAUACACGGUAUUUUUGUUGUCUAGAGGUGUUUCAACUAGUUGUGUCAACAUUGAUUCAAAUCAUCCCUUCGUUCUCUGAUAAAUCCUUUAUCGAAGCAGAAGUUGGAGUUUCCCGGCCGCAAGAAGGAAGUCCCCAGAUAUUAUCAGCAUGCUCAUCUUUUGAUUGUUGCUCAGAAGGCGUUAUAUAACCCGCCUUCUAGCAUCAAUCAUAGUCUGGGCAGGCUACCAAACGUCGUCUGGGGACUGUCCUGCUGUCACCCAGCAAUGUCGCGGUGUAAGUACUACGCUGUCACCCAGCACUGUCGCAGUGUAAGUACUACGCUGUCACCCAGCACUGUCGUGUUGUAAGUAAUACGUUGUCACCCAACACUGUCGCGGUGUAAGUACUACGCUGUCACCCAGCACAGUCGCGGUGUAAGUACUACGCUGUCACCCAGCACUGUCGCGGUUUAAGUACUACGCUGUCCUGCUGUCACCCAGCACUGUCGCGGUGUAAGUACUGCGCUGUCACCCAGCACUGUCGUGUUGUAAGUACUACGCUGUCACCCAGCACUGUCGCCAGUGUAAGUACUACGCUGUCACCCAGCACUGUCGUGUUGUAAGUACUACGCUGUCACCCAGCACUGUCGUGUUGUAAGUACUACGCUGUCACCCAGCACUGUCGUGUUGUAAGUACUACGCUGUCACCCAGCACUGUCGCCAGUGUAAGUACUACGCUGUCACCCAGCACUGUCGUGUUGUAAGUACUACGCUGUCACCCAGCACUGUCGCCAGUGUAAGUACUACGCUGUCACCCAGCACUGUCGUGUUGUAAGUACUACGCUGUCACCCAGCACUGUCGUGUUGUAAGUACUACGCUGUCACCCAGCACUGUCGUGUUGUAAGUACUACGCUGUCACCCAGCACUGUCGUGUUGUAAGUACUACGCUGUCACCCAGCACUGUCGCGGUGUAAGUACUACGCUGUCAACCAGCACUGUCGUGUUGUAAGUACUACGCUGUCACCCAGCACUGUCGUGUUGUAAGUACUACGCUGUCACCCAGCACCGUCGCGGUGUAAGUACGCUGUCACCCAGCACUGCCGCCAAUGUAAGUACUACGCGGUCACCCAGCACUGCCGCCAGUGUAAGUACUACGCUGUCACCCAGCACUGUCUUGUUGUAAGUACUACGCUGUCACCCAGCACUGCCGCCAGUGUAAGUACUACGCUGUCACCCAGCACUGCCGCCAGUGUAAGUACUACGCUGUCACCCAGCACUGUCUUGUUGUAAGUACUACGCUGUCACCCAGCACUGUCGCGGUGUAAGUACUACGCUGUCACCCAGCACUGUCGUGUUGUAAGUACUACGCUGUCACCCAGCACUGUCGUGUUGUAAGUACUACGCUGUCACCCAGCACUGUCGCGGUGUAAGUACUACGCUGUCACCCAGCACUGUCGCCAGUGUAAGUACUACGCUGUCACCCAGCACUGUCGUGUUGUAAGUACUACGCUGUCACCCAGCACUGUCGUGUUGUAAGUACUACGCUGUCACCCAGCACUGUCGUGUUGUAAGUACUACGCUGUCACCCAGCACUGUCACGGUGUAAGUACUACGCUGUCACCCAGCACUGUCGCGGUUUAAGUACUACGCUGUCCUGCUGUCACCCAGCACUGUCGCGGUGUAAGUACUGCGCUGUCACCCAGCACUGUCGCGGUGUAAGUACUGCGCUGUCACCCAGCACUGUCGUGUUGUAAGUACUACGCUGUCACCCAGCACUGUCGCCAGUGUAAGUACUACGCUGUCACCCAGCACUGUCGUGUUGUAAGUACUACGCUGUCACCCAGCACUGUCGUGUUGUAAGUACUACGCUGUCACCCAGCACUGUCGUGUUGUAAGUACUACGCUGUCACCCAGCACUGUCGCCAGUGUAAGUACUACGCUGUCACCCAGCACUGUCGCGGUUUAAGUACUACGCUGUCCUGCUGUCACCCAGCACUGUCGCGGUGUAAGUACUGCGCUGUCACCCAGCACUGUCGUGUUGUAAGUACUACGCUGUCACCCAGCACUGUCGCCAGUGUAAGUACUACGCUGUCACCCAGCACUGUCGUGUUGUAAGUACUACGCUGUCACCCAGCACUGUCGUGUUGUAAGUACUACGCUGUCACCCAGCACUGUCGUGUUGUAAGUACUACGCUGUCACCCAGCACAGUCGCGGUGUAAGUACUACGCUGUCACCCAGCACUGUCGCGGUUUAAGUACUACGCUGUCCUGCUGUCACCCAGCACUGUCGCGGUGUAAGUACUGCGCUGUCACCCAGCACUGUCGUGUUGUAAGUACUACGCUGUCACCCAGCACUGUCGCCAGUGUAAGUACUACGCUGUCACCCAGCACUGUCGUGUUGUAAGUACUACGCUGUCACCCAGCACUGUCGUGUUGUAAGUACUACGCUGUCACCCAGCACUGUCGUGUUGUAAGUACUACGCUGUCACCCAGCACUGUCGCCAGUGUAAGUACUACGCUGUCACCCAGCACUGUCGUGUUGUAAGUACUACGCUGCCACCCAGCACUGUCGCCAGUGUAAGUACUACGCUGUCACCCAGCACUGUCGUGUUGUAAGUACUACGCUGUCACCCAGCACUGUCGUGUUGUAAGUACUACGCUGUCACCCAGCACUGUCGUGUUGUAAGUACUACGCUGUCACCCAGCACUGUCGUGUUGUAAGUACUACGCUGUCACCCAGCACUGUCGCGGUGUAAGUACUACGCUGUCAACCAGCACUGUCGUGUUGUAAGUACUACGCUGUCACCCAGCACUGUCGUGUUGUAAGUACUACGCUGUCACCCAGCACUGUCGUGUUGUAAGUACUACGCUGUCACCCAGCACUGCCGCCAAUGUAAGUACUACGCGGUCACCCAGCACUGCCGCCAGUGUAAGUACUACGCUGUCACCCAGCACUGUCUUGUUGUAAGUACUACGCUGUCACCCAGCACUGCCGCCAGUGUAAGUACUACGCUGUCACCCAGCACUGCCGCCAGUGUAAGUACUACGCUGUCACCCAGCACUGUCUUGUUGUAAGUACUACGCUGUCACCCAGCACUGUCGCGGUGUAAGUACUACGCUGUCACCCAGCACUGUCGUGUUGUAAGUACUACGCUGUCACCCAGCACUGUCGUGUUGUAAGUACUACGCUGUCACCCAGCACUGUCGCGGUGUAAGUACUACGCUGUCACCCAGCACUGUCGCCAGUGUAAGUACUACGCUGUCACCCAGCACUGUCGUGUUGUAAGUACUACGCUGUCACCCAGCACUGUCGUGUUGUAAGUACUACGCUGUCACCCAGCACUGUCGUGUUGUAAGUACUACGCUGUCACCCAGCACUGUCACGGUGUAAGUACUACGCUGUCACCCAGCACUGUCGUGUUGUAAGUACUACGCUGUCACUCAGCACUGUCGCGGUGUAAGUACUACGCUGUCACCCAGCACCGUCGUGUUGUAAGUACUACGCUGUCACCCAGCACUGUCGUGUUGUAAGUACUACGCUGUCACCCAGCACUGUCGUGUUGUAAGUACUACGCUGUCACCCAGCACUGUCACGGUGUAAGUACUACGCUGUCACCCAGCACUGUAACGGUGUAAGUACUACGCUGUCACCCAGCACUGCCGCCAGUGUAAGUACUACGCUGUCACCCAGCACCGUCGUGUUGUAAGUACUACGCUGUCACCCAGCACCGUCGUGUUGUAAGUACCACGCUGUCACCCCAGCACUGUCGUGUUGUAAGUACUACGCUGUCACCCAGCACUGUCGCGGUGUAAGUACUACGCUGUCACCCAGCACUGUCGUGUUGUAAGUACUACGCUGUCACCCAGCACUGUCGCGGUGUAAGUACAACGCUGUUACCCAGCACUGUCGCCAGUGUAAGUACUACGCUGUCGCCCAGCACUGUCGUGUUGUAAGUACUACGCUGUCGCCCAGCACUGUCGUGUUGUAAGUACUACGCUGUCAUCCAACAUUGGUACUACAUAAAUACUUUACUAGUAUUCUUUUAAUAGACUGAAACACUGAUGUGUGCAUCAUUUAAUUUGUCAACAUUACGGUACAGAGAUAUGUAAAAUUGGCCAUUACGACUUGGGCACUCCUGAAAA